rnacentral:tRNA from 1 species
AUUGAUUAUUCCGGAUGAGCUUUUCUCCAGCAUCCAUGGCUGAAUGGUUAAAGCGCCCAACUCAUAAUUGGCGA